rnacentral:lncRNA from 1 species
UUUCACUUGAGACUUCUUUUCUUUUUGUAACUUCUCUGUCCUGUUAAAUUCAGAACUGAAUGUGAUGAUAGGGAUGUGAAAUUCUACAGAAUCAUGCAGUUAUAAGCCAGUGAAGGUGAAGAGGGUUGGCAAACAGUUUCCUUUAUUUUAGUUACUAAACAAACAAUCAAGUCACUUGACCCUAAAUUUAGCCUUUCUUCAAAACUAUCAGUAUUUUGUACAAGUUUUCAGAACUGCUGUUGUUUGCAAUGGCAGCAUUGCACUGUGGGAUAACAGAAGAAAUAGACUUUAUUAUGGGUAACUGUAAUGAUGUCAUCAGACUUCCUUGUACAGCUACUGACCAAACAAAAACCUACCGUUACGUCAUGUGGUAUAAAAAUGAUAAUGUUCCUAUCAUCAAGAGGAAAAAAGAUGAAUAUGCAUACUAUAACUUGACCAACAUUUCUCUGGAAGAUAAAGAGACCCUGGUGUUAAAAAAUACGCAACCUUCAGACUCUGGAGAAUAUAAAUGCUUCCUGGCUGCAGAGGUUGGAGGUCAAAAUGAUGAGUCUAUAGUUGGAUUGAAUAUCUCAGAAUGUUUGGAUGUGAGCACAGUUUAUCCCAUCACCACCAUGAUCCCUGCUGAAUCCUGUCCUGCUGUAGAAGAAUUAACUGUUCCCUGGGCUGUGAUUGGCUUUUCUCUUAUUAGCAUCACCAAAAUUAUUCUUUGCAUUGUAACCGUGGGGGUGUGUGAUCGAGUCAUAUUUAGAACAGUAAGAAGAAAACAGGAAGGAAGGGGAAGCAAGACUGGAAGGUCAAGCUGGAAAGACUGA